rnacentral:rRNA from 1 species
GAUGAACGCUGGCGGCGUGCCUAAUACAUGCAAGUCGAGCGAACAGACGAGGAGCUUGCUCCUCUGACGUUAGCGGCGGACGGGUGAGUAACACGUGGAUAACCUACCUAUAAGACUGGGAUAACUUCGGGAAACCGGAGCUAAUACCGGAUAAUAUAUUGAACCGCAUGGUUCAAUAGUGAAAGACGGUUUUGCUGUCACUUAUAGAUGGAUCCGCGCCGCAUUAGCUAGUUGGUAAGGUAACGGCUUACCAAGGCAACGAUGCGUAGCCGACCUGAGAGGGUGAUCGGCCACACUGGAACUGAGACACGGUCAAGACUCCUAAGGGAGGCAGCAGUAGGGAAUCUUCCGCAAUGGGCGAAAGCCUGACGGAGCAACGCCGCGUGAGUGAUGAAGGUCUUCGGAUCGUAAAACUCUGUUAUUAGGGAAGAACAAAUGUGUAAGUAACUAUGCACGUCUUGACGGUACCUAAUCAGAAAGCCACGGCUAACUACGUG